rnacentral:rRNA from 1 species
CGAGAGUAGUACUAGGAUGGGUAACCUCUUGGGAAGUCCUUGUGUUGCACCCC